rnacentral:rRNA from 1 species
UACUACGGGAGGCAGCAGUGGGGAAUCUUGGACAAUGGGCGCAAGCCUGAUCCAGCCAUGCCGCGUGAGUGAUGAAGGCCUUAGGGUCGUAAAGCUCUUUCGCCAGGGAUGAUAAUGACAGUACCUGGUAAAGAAACCCCGGCUAACUCCGUGCCAGCAGCCGCGGUAAUACGGAGGGGGUUAGCGUUGUUCGGAAUUACUGGGCGUAAAGCGCGCGUAGGCGGGUUGUUAAGUUAGAGGUGAAAUCCCAGGGCUCAACCCUGGAACUGCCUUUAAUACUGGCAACCUAGAGUUCGAGAGAGGUGAGUGGAAUUCCGAGUGUAGAGGUGAAAUUCGUAGAUAUUCGGAGGAACACCAGUGGCGAAGGCGGCUCACUGGCUCGAUACUGACGCUGAGGUGCGAAAGUGUGGGGAGCAAACAGGAUUAGAUACCCUGGUAGUCCACACCGUAAACGAUGAAUGCCAGUCGUCGGGUAGCAUGCUAUUCGGUGACACACCUAACGGAUUAAGCAUUCCGCCU